rnacentral:rRNA from 1 species
UGACCAGGGCUACACACGUACUACAAUGGCAGGUACAAAGGGCAGCCACUUAGCGAUAAGGCGCGAAUCCCAUAAAACCUGUCUCAGUCCGGAUUGGAGUCUGCAACUCGACUCCAUGAAGUUGGAAUCGCUAGUAAUCGCAGAUCAGCACGCUGCGGUGAAUACCGGUUCCCGGGCCUU